GACGAACGCUGGCGGCGUGCUUAACACAUGCAAGUCGAACGGAAAGGCCCUGCUGUUGUGGGGUGCUCGAGUGGCGAACGGGUGAGUAACACGUGAGUAACCUGCCCUUGACUUUGGGAUAACUUCAGGAAACUGGGGCUAAUACCGGAUAGGAGCUCCUGCUGCAUGGUGGGGGUUGGAAAGUUUCGGCGGUUGGGGAUGGACUCGGGGCUUAUCAGCUUGUUGGUGGGGUAGUGGCGUACCAAGGCUUUGACGGGUAGCCGGCCUGAGAGGGUGACCGGCCACAUUGGGACUGCGAUACGGCCCAGACUGCUACAGGAGGCAGCAGUGGGGAAUAUUGCACAAUGGGCGGAAGCCUGAUGCAGCAGCGCCGCGUGCGGGAUGACGGCCUUCGGGUUGUAAACCGCUUUCGCCUGUGACGAAGCGUGAGUGACGGUAAUGGGUAAAGAAGCACCGGCUAACUACGUG
rnacentral:rRNA from 1 species